rnacentral:tRNA from 1 species
GCCGUUGUAGCUCAGGGGUAGAGCACUUCCUUGGUAAGGAAGAGGUCGUGAGUUCAAUUCUCAUCAACGGCUCGA